CAGCCGCCGCGGUAAUACGGAGGAUGCGAGCGUUAUUCGGAAUCAUUGGGUUUAAAGGGUCUGUAGGCGGGCUAUUAAGUCAGGGGUGAAAGGUUCCAGCUUAACUGAGAAAUUGCCCUUGAUACUGGUAGUCUUGAAUAUCUGUGAAGUUCUUGGAAUGUGUAGUGUAGCGGUGAAAUGCUUAGAUAUUACACAGAACACCGAUUGCGAAGGCAGGGGACUAACAGACAAUUGACGCUGAGAGACGAAAGCGUGGGGAGCGAACAGGAUUAGAUACCCCGGUAGUCCCUGUCUCUUAUAC
rnacentral:rRNA from 1 species